rnacentral:rRNA from 1 species
UACGUAGGGUGCGAGCGUUGUCCGGAAUUACUGGGCGUAAAGAGCUCGUAGGUGGUUUGUCGCGUUGUUCGUGAAAUCUCACGGCUUAACUGUGAGCGUGCGGGCGAUACGGGCAGACUGGAGUACUGCAGGGGAGACUGGAAUUCCUGGUGUAGCGGUGGAAUGCGCAGAUAUCAGGAGGAACACCGGUGGCGAAGGCGGGUCUCUGGGCAGUAACUGACGCUGAGGAGCGAAAGCGU